rnacentral:rRNA from 1 species
UACGGAGGGUCCGAGCGUUAUCCGGAAUCAUUGGGUUUAAAGGGUCCGUAGGCGGCCCUGUAAGUCAGUGGUGAAAUCUCCCGGCUCAACCGGGAAAUUGCCAUUGAUACCGCAGGGCUUGAAUUAUUGGGAAGUAACUAGAAUAUGUAGUGUAGCGGUGAAAUGCUUAGAUAUUACAUGGAAUACCGAUUGCGAAGGCAGGUUACUACCGGUGGAUUGACGCUGAUGGACGAAAGCGUGGGUAGCGAACAGG